UAAAGAGUUCUAUAACUCCCAAACCCAUGUGAACAUACCUAACGUUGCCUCGGCAGGUCGCACCUACCUUGUAGCACCCUACCCUGUAGGGCCUACCCGGGAGGUGCGGGUAAGCCUGCCGGCGGCCCACCAAACUCUGUUUGAUAUUGAAUUCUGAACCUAUAACUAAAUAAGUUAAAACUUUCAACAACGGAUCUCUUGGUUCUGGCAUCGAUGAAGAACGCAGCGAAAUGCGAUAAGUAAUGUGAAUUGCAGAAUUCAGUGAAUCAUCGAAUCUUUGAACGCAUAUUGCGCCCAUUAGUAUUCUAGUGGGCAGGACCGUUCGAGCGUCAUUUCAACCCUUAAGCCUUCGUUGCUUAGUGUUGGGAGCCUACGGCAACGUAGCUCCUCAAAGUUAGUGGCGGAGUUGGUUCACACUCUAGACGUAGUAAUUUUUUAUCUCGCCUAUUAGUUGGACUAAUCCCCUGCCGUAAAACCCCCAAUUUAUCAAGGUUGACCUCGAAUCGGUUCAGACAAACUCGCUAAAUUGAAGCAUCUUAGUCAGCGAAGGAAAAGAAACCAACAGGGAUUGCCCUAGUAACGGCGAGUGAAGCGGCAACAGCUC
rnacentral:rRNA from 1 species